rnacentral:rRNA from 1 species
CGGGAAUAUUGGACAAUGGGCGAAAGCCUGAUCCAGCAAUACCGCGUGUGUGAAGAAGGCCUGCGGGUUGUAAAGCACUUUCAGUAGGGAAGAUAAUGACGUUACCUACAGAAGAAGCACCGGCUAACUCCGUGCCAGCAGCCGCGGUAAUACGGAGGGUGCAAGCGUUAAUCGGAAUUACUGGGCGUAAAGCGCACGUAGGCGGUUUAUUAAGUCGGAUGUGAAAGCCCUGGGCUCAACCUGGGAACUGCACUCGAUACUGGUAAACUAGAAUUUGGGAGAGGUGAGUGGAAUUUCCGGUGUAGCGGUGAAAUGCAUAGAGAUCGGAAGGAACACCAGUGGCGAAGGCGACUCACUGGACCAAAAUUGACGCUGAGGUGCGAAAGCGUGGGUAGCAAACAGGAUUAGAUACCCUGGUAGUCCACGCCGUAAACGAUGUCAACUAGCCGUUGGUUCCAUUCAAGGGAUCAGUGGUGCAGCUAACGCAUUAAGUGACCGC